GACGAACGCUGGCGGCGUGCUUAACACAUGCAAGUCGAGCGGAAAGGCCCUUUCGGGGGUACUCGAGCGGCGAACGGGUGAGUAACACGUGAGGAAUCUGCCCUGGACUCUGGGAUAGCCACCGGAAACGGUGAUUAAUACCGGAUAUGACACCUUGAUGCAUGGGGGGGUGGGGAAAGUUUUUUCGGUCCAGGAUGUGCUCGCGGCCUAUCAGCUUGUUGGUGAGGUGAUGGCUCACCAAGGCUUUGACGGGUAGCCGGCCUGAGAGGGUGACCGGUCACACUGGGACUGAGACACGGCCCAGACUCCUACGGGAGGCAGCAGUGGGGAAUAUUGGACAAUGGGCGGAAGCCUGAUCCAGCAACGCCGCGUGAGGGAUGACGGCCUUCGGGUUGUAAACCUCUUUCAGUACCGACGAAGCGAAAGUGACGGUAGGUACAGAAGAAGGACCGGCCAACUACGUGCCAGCCGCCGCCGUAACAC
rnacentral:rRNA from 1 species